CUACUGAAGUAAUCCCAUCUCCCCGAAGAGGCACCCAAACACUGCUCCUUGCGUGUUCCUGGAGGGAGUAUCCUGGCCCAGGAAAUGUUGAAAAAUUCAGAUGAGAAGACCCUGGAAGCCUUCAUCAAAGACCCCUGACGACCCCUAAACUGAAGAGGUGCAAGUGCAGUGCUAAAGAACUGUCUAAUAACCAUGAGAUCAUACAAUGUAAAUUAGUUCUGGAACUCAGCACUUACAAUCUGAGAAAUUGUCAGAGACUAUGCCAUAUUUUCUUUAAAUUUCA
rnacentral:lncRNA from 1 species